AUUCCAUGUUGAGGACACUUCUUGAGUAAUCCUUUAAAUCGUUCCCAAGCCUCGUAUAAAGAUUCGCUGUCUUUUUGUUCAAAAGUUGUGUUCUCCGCCUUGAGCCU